rnacentral:lncRNA from 1 species
AAAAAGGCAGUCCUAGAUGAAGGAACCGCGCAACCUUAAUUGACAUGUCACCAGAGGCUAUACGAAACCUAAGAAAGCGGUAAAAUGCGGGAAAAAUAAAGUACCACGCAGGUAAAGAUCCGAGGCAACAACAAUUUAAGAGGUAAGAAACCCAAAGACCCUUCCAAGCUAAGCAUCAUCAAAAAAAGCGAGUCAGUACAGGUAAUCGGAAUAAACCUCCAGGUGGUAUCCCACCAAAUAAAGUGGAACACCAAG